CAACGAUCUGCUGUCCCUUCACAGCUUGACCUAAAAAAAAGUGCGAUCGUGAUUUCCCAACAUCCCAGCCCUAGGCCGCCGACGCCAGACGCUGGACGUCGGACGCCAACAAGCAGUAUUGCAGUUCAGGGGACCCCGUCUUCACGCUUGGUCAAUUGUUCUCCGAAUCUAGACGCCACAAGCAGCACACGGACUGAUGCUAUCAUGGAUUCGACCGUCAAAAUCAGAAUUGUGCGCUAGUAUACCGCCAAGAAACAAGACAUAUGCAUCGUUUAGCAAUAAAAGGAAAAGGAAGAAGACAUCGGAUAAAUUGGUACAAUCACAGAGUGUUGCACAAAAUUUGUUGAAACAUUCUCUCUUGAUAGUUCAUCUGAUGUUGAGGCAUAUCAUCUUAUUUCCAAGUUGAAGAUUAUGAGAUCCACUUUGCCAGAUGGCGUACUGUUUGCUCUGGAGAUUUUUGGGCAUGUCAGAGAAGUUGAUUGUUAGCCGAAUAUCUUCAUUGCUUAUCGCAUCUUAUUUGCUGUGUCUGUGACGGUCGUAUCGGCUGAAGAAAAAUUUCAAAGCUAGAAUUGUUGAAGAAUUAUUUGAGGUCAACAAUGACUCGAGAGAGGUUAAAUUGUUUGGCUACAUUAUUCAUCGAGGAGAAAUUAUUGGAUGAGAUUGACAUCGACCCCAUCAUAAGUGACUUUGCA